AUCAGUCAAAAGUCUCCUUGUGUGUGAUCCCAUAGAUUUUAUUCUGUCUAGUAGUGAGAUAUAUUAUGAUUCCUAUCAUAAUAUCAUCAAAAAUUUUUUCAAUGGAUUGGAACCAUUCUAACUCGGUCCAUCAAGGAUCAUCGAUCAUCAAGAUGAUGAUCAUGGAUCUCACAAUUUAUCAGUGAUACCUAGCGGUAUGUAGUGACAACCUAGUAGAAUAAAAGGUGAUGAACUUCUAGGUAUAGUUAACGUAUGAUACAGUCUCUC
rnacentral:lncRNA from 1 species